UACAAUGUGAGCAUUUCCCAAUCAUUCUACCAACCUAUGUCAUUGAGCUUGCACAAAUGAUCUCCAGAAAUGAAAAAUCAUGAUCAAAUAGAAAAUGCAAUGUAAAAUUCCACAAAAAUUCAUACAAUAUCUCAACAUGCUUAACUAACCAUCAUGCAAAAUUUCAGCCAAUUCUAACAUGUAUAGGUCACUCAAAAAAAUCCUGCAAGUUGACAUAAUGAGGUGUGACACAAAUUGUCACACCUAAGUUCCAGAAUUUGCUGCUCUCUAACCAGGUAUCCAAAAUUCAUGAAAUUUACAUAUAAAUAAUCC
rnacentral:lncRNA from 1 species